rnacentral:rRNA from 1 species
AGUGAACGCUGGCGGUAGGCCUAACACAUGCCAGUCGAACGGCAGCACAGUAAGAGCUUGCUCUUACGGGUGGCGAGUGGCGGACGGGUGAGGAAUACAUCGGAAUCUACUUUUUCGUGGGGGAUAACGUAGGGAAACUUACGCUAAUACCGCAUACGACCUACGGGUGAAAGCAGGGGAUCUUCGGACCUUGCGCGAUUGAAUGAGCCGAUGUCGGAUUAGCUAGUUGGCGGGGUAAAGGCCCACCAAGGCGACGAUCCGUAGCUGGUCUGAGAGGAUGAUCAGCCACACUGGAACUGAGACACGGUCCAGACUCCUACGGGGGGCAGCAGUGGGGAAUAUUGGACAAUGGGCGCAAGCCUGAUCCAGCCAUACCGCGUGGGUGAAGAAGGCCUUCGGGUUGUAAAGCCCUUUUGUUGGGAAAGAAAAGCAGCAGGUUAAGACCCCGCUGUUCUGACUGUACCCAAAGAAUAAGCACCGGCUAACUUCGU